rnacentral:rRNA from 1 species
GACGAACGCUGGCGGCGUGCUUAACACAUGCAAGUCGAACGGUGAAGCGCCUUCCUUUUUGGUGGGUGUGGAUGAGUGGCGAACGGGUGAGUAACACGUGAGUAACCUGCCCCCUUCUUCUGGAUAACCGCAUGAAAGUGUGGCUAAUACGGGAUAUUCUGGGUCUGUCGCAUGAUGGGUCUGGGAAAGAUAUUGUUUCGGUGGGGGAUGGGCUCGCGGCCUAUCAGCUUGUUGGUGGGGUGAUGGCCUACCAAGGCGGUGACGGGUAGCCGGCCUGAGAGGGUGGACGGUCACACUGGGACGGAGACGCGGCCCAGACUCCUACGGGAGGCAGCAGGGGGGAAUAUUGCACAAUGGGCGCAAGCCUGAUGCAGCGACGCCGCGUGAGGGAUGGAGGCCUUCGGGUUGUGAACCUCUUUCGCCAGUGAAGCAGGCCUGCCUCGUUUGUGGGUGGGUUGACGGUAGCUGGAUAAGAAGCGCCGGCUAACUACGUG